CCACGCGAACUGGCCAUUGUGAUGCACUGUGGUAGCUGCUGUGACAGCACAGAGGUCACGGUGCAUGGAGGCACUCCUUUCUACCUCAGCCUAAAGGCCUCCUGGAGGACCUGACCCCUGAGUAAAAACACUGCAGAGGCUCGCUGACCUGGCUGUUAUAUCAGAAUCAUAAGGUGCUUCUGAGAUACUGGUGCUCAGGCCCCUUCCAAGAACCAAGGAAUUAGUAUUUCUGGGGAUACAACUUGGCCAUGUGCAUGUAGGUGGAUUCUGACAAACACAAAAUCAGAACUGAACAAAGGAAAGAGUCUGCCAGAGGAAGCCAUUGGGACGAUCAGAUUGCAACAAUGGAUCUGAAUGUAUUGGAAAACCAUGAAGGGCUACACAAAGAUGAAAACAUGGAGCCAGGAAAAACAGUCUGGGAUGAAAGAGUGAAUGAACAUCAGACCAGGCUGAGAAUGCAGAAACAGUCCCUCUGUCAACAGGGCUAGGGGGGACGACAGACAUCAAGCCUACUGCAAAGAUGGCAGGAAACUAUGUUUCCCUCAAGGUCUUACAGCCGCUGUAAAAUGCCAGAAAAGACACCCUCUUUGAGGGACCACUGCUUUUCUGCCGAUGUUGCCCUCUGACCUGCUUUGCUAUGUCUUCUCCUCUGAAUAAACAUUACUGGGGACACUA